rnacentral:misc_RNA from 1 species
GCACCCGGUAGCUGGAGUCAGGUAUACUUGAUUUGAAUAAUGUUCUUUGACUGAAUUAUUUAAGACAUGGUUAUUUAAAACAAUAUCUUCCUGCCCGUGGUAUUUUAGUUAUAAAUUAUGAAAUUAGUCAACUUAGCAGUUUAACAUUGCCCUUCUCACCUUCACUAUCAGUUGCUGCCAUCAAAAAUACAUUUUCAUUUUCAAAAGUUUAGUCUUACUACUUGAAAUUGAAAAUGUCCUUCACUUUGGCAUAUUGGUUGCACCAAAUCUUUAUUGAUAUGCUAUCAUAGUGGACAUUAUAUUUUACCUUAUGGUGGUGCUGUUUGGGGUGACCGGUGAGCGAUGCACAAAGCAAGCUUGACUAGUUUUCAAUGCUUCCAUUUUGCAGGUUUUGAGCCGUAAAUUAUAUCU